UUUAUAACAAAAAAACUACAUAAAUAUAUAAAAAAAUAAUCUUUUGCGUUUAACUACGUAAAAAUUUAAGAUAAUUUAAGAGAAAUAUUAAGCUAGGACAUAAAAUCUUUGCAAAAAUCGUGAGAGAGGAAUUCGACUAAUCGAAAACGGUUUACUAAACUCAGGAAAAAUUGAUGCUCAGGGGUAUGAAAUAAUGUACAAAUUAAAUGGGUUACCAUGUAAGGCGAUGCGAAGAGUAAUGAAGAGCAAAAAUUGACCAAAAUAAUAAUUUUUGGGCAUUCAAAUUAUAAUACCACCCAGGAGGCAGCAAAAUGAUGCGUUAUCCAAGUUAGUUUCGCCCAGUUAGUUAUUUAUGUAUAUAAAAAAGAAACAAAACGAUAACAAUUCAUUAACAUAUACAUAUGACUAGAAAACAAAAAGACAACAAUUCAUUUGACAAAGCUAUAAAAAUAUCACAGAUAUAAUAUAUGUAUAUACAU